rnacentral:rRNA from 1 species
UAGGGAAUCUUCGGCAAUGGACGAAAGUCUGACCGAGCAACGCCGCGUGAGUGAAGAAGGUUUUCGGAUCGUAAAACUCUGUUGUUAGAGAAGAACAAGGACGUUAGUAACUGAACGUCCCCUGACGGUAUCUAACCAGAAAGCCACGGCUAACUACGUGCCAGCAGCCGCGGUAAUACGUAGGUGGCAAGCGUUGUCCGGAUUUAUUGGGCGUAAAGCGAGCGCAGGCGGUUUCUUAAGUCUGAUGUGAAAGCCCCCGGCUCAACCGGGGAGGGUGCUUGGAAACUGGGAGACUUGAGUGCAGAAGAGGAGAGUGGAAUUCCAUGUGUAGCGGUGAAAUGCGUAGAUAUAUGGAGGAACACCAGUGGCGAAGGCGGCUCUCUGGUCUGUAACUGACGCUGAGGCUCGAAAGCGUGGGGAGCAAACAGG